CCCUGGUCCUGUUGAGCUUGGUUCCCCACUGUUGGGAGGGGAAAUAACCCUCUGUAUUCGCUGCAGAGAGGGCCGGGGAGAAGGCUCUCUGCUGUUCCUUGUGCCGCCAGUGGACUGGCAGAGCUGUGGAGGACUGAAGUGAACACCCAGAGUAAGAGAUGGCUAGAUGGCUGACUUUCUGGGAACCUCCUGCCUCGGUGUGAAGCGCUGCCUGGCACCCGGACGCUUGCCUCCUUACCUAGCAUUGUGUAUCAGAAGGCCCCAUUUUCUGGGCUGUCUACUCACUCACUCCUGUCUUUCUAUGGCUGGGCACUGGGCCAGGGCUCUGAUGUGAACUCCAGUGACCUGGAGGGAGGAGGUAGGGAGGGAAGCAGAGCAUUAGACUCAAGGACCGCAAGGGGUUGAGUUGAGGAAGGAAUCUGAGCCUUCACCCAGGCCAAAGACGUGCCCGUGAGCCCCGCUCUGCCCAGUCGCCAGGAGUCAGAAACUUUCCUCCCUCAGCUCCCUGAGGGCCAUGGCGUUCAGACUGAUGUUACUGACUGUGGCCUGAGGCGUGAAGAAGGAAGUCAGACACCUUGGAGAGGAAGAAACAUAUUCUACCUCAAUCACCUCCGCUGGAUAUGUUCACAGUGACUUCUGUUCCUCCCACCUCUUCUUCAGAUAGGAUGAACUUUACCGACUCUCUCCCCUUGGCAUCCUGGUGACUUCUGAAAUCCCAAUAUCUUCUAUUAAGACGACCAAAGGUGCUGCAGCACUGAAUGGAAAUACUGGCCCAGAACAGCAGGAAGUGGCACUUGCAAGAGAAGGAGGCUGCUGUCCUUUGAGGGACUGUAAGUGCAGCAAGAAAAAUCCAAGAGGGGACUGGCUUCACUAACAGCUGUGAAGGUUCAAUUUUAAGGCUGUCAUCUGUCAAACCUGCCACAAGGAACGCAGAAUUCAGGAGAGCAAAGAUACUGGCUGCACUGAGGAGGAGCACGAGAGGGGAAAGCCUGGAAGUGUGUGGGCAGGUCUGCGAGAGUCUCUCGAGUUGAGAAUAAAUGCCAUGAGAGGAAGAUCUAUAUGAGCAUAAAGAACAAGGUAACGAAGAACAAGAAAGCCAGAUAAUUUAUGGAGCAAAAAUUCACUUUUUGGGGAGCAUUUUCACCACAAAUUACCUAAUACUUUUCAUGCUAGAAAUCCGCAGUCCUGGCUCUUUAAAUGGCUUCUUUGUGGGUUGUUGGGUUUUGCUUUUUCAAAGCUAGAAACUUGGAAAACCUGUCAUAUUAACAAAGUAUAGCUUAGUCAUCUCAGUAGGUCCAGUAACAAAGUCCAGUCUGUUUUAUUUCUAACCCAAAUAUUGCAAAUAUACAGAAAAUUACCAGUACAAAGUUAAACACAUCCAGAUUUAUUUACACAAUGCUAAAGAAAUUUGAGUUUUAUUUCCAUUUUGUGGGAUUUCAUUGUGGGGUCUGGUUUUACUGUGUAAUUGACAUGGGUCACUGAAACUUGAUUAUCUCACCUUACAUGCAAUUUUCUGUCCCAAGGGAACAGAAAACUUGGGUUUUCAGCACACAUGCAGUAAUGAUCUUAAUACUGCUUAACACUUUCAUAGGAAGAAGGCAGCUGUCUCAUGACUUGGGAGGGACCACAUGCUCAGAAAGGGAACAAGAGACAAGAGAGGAAUGAACAACAGGCACAUGGGGACCCUGAGCAUUUCUGUGCACGAGGAUAAGAGAGUGCGGCCCAAACCCUCCUCCCCAGAGGUUCAAACACAGGAGGUGGGCAGAACCACCAGGGGACAUUAAGUCACCCAGCCACAACUGAAGGCAUGCGGAGGACGAGAACUGCAUUAAAGAUUUGGGGGUAUCAAUAAAUCAUUAACAUGUACACUAUACAGUUUAUGUAUGUAUAUAUGUACAUAUCUAUAUAUAUAUAAAGGUACAGAUUAGUUUGUUAUUCCAUAUAAACAAGAACGCUUAAGGAUGUACUGGUGUGAAAAAAUGCAUACAGCAAGUUGUUGAAGAUAACUUCAAAUUAAUGCUCUAACUCUUACUGUUAUCAACAUUAACUAAGAACUCAGUGUGCUCCUGCUGUUUCAGUUAUCCUUCCUAAGGGCAGGGCUGGACUCUGCUAGGGCAGGAUACUGCUUCUAGAGCUGCCUGCACUGGGUAAAUCAGUGGCAGAUGGAACAGAAGUCUGGCACCUGAUGUCUCUGGCCCUCCCAUUCCCUACUUCACAUGGCAAAUCUUAAACUUUGGUUUUGUUUAAAGGACAUUUAAAUCCGUGUUAAUUCUCCUGUUGGAAAGGCGGCGGUAGAAAGUUGAAAAGGUGCAUCUCCUAUUUUAGCACUUCCAAACUUCCUAGCUUAACAUGGAAAUGAGAGGGCUGUGCUGACAAUAAGCAGACGAGCUGUUAGGUACUGUGUGUGGGGGUGGGGUUCGGUAGAGCUCUCCUAAAAAGAGACUCUCUACUGAGAUGGUUUGCCUAGAAAGCCAGGCCAGCCCUGGCACCCUGGGCUGGUAUAGACGGCCCUGUGCUUGUCUCUCUAUCCCAGUAUCAUGAUGAAGACCAGGGGAUGUCCAGCUAUAGUUUAUAUGUCUAGGGCAGGAGCUGGAGGUGGCCAGUAUAUUACUAAUCUGUCAAGGAUGAAAGGCCAGCUUAUGCAUGCCGAGACCCAGAGACAAACCUAAGAAUAAGAAAGAUACAUACUGGAAGUCUAUCCUAUCUGGAGGCGGAUGCCAAUUCCCAGGUCAGGCAUGUGACACUGUUGCACGUCUUAAGCCCCACAACUACCACAACUCUCCAAAGGCUUCCACUUUUCUAAGUAGUGUUGCCACUAGAUUCAUAGCUUAGGCACCUUCCACUCUGGUCCCUGGUCUCAAGAAAAAUAAAAAAUCUGCUAGGCCUUCAACAGGAAGGAUUCUGGAUUUAAGAACUCAGACCACUUUGGACUGUCUGAUUAUGUCCCCCCUACCUAACAAUGCUAAAUUCCAUUGCUCAAACAUCCAGAAAUCUCUUCUGCAGCUACCAAGCCUGGGAGUUUAUGCAGGAUAUGCUAAGUGUUAACGUCAAGGACGAUGCUCCUAACCUGAGUAGGACAAACCAGAAAUCUUUUUAUUUUAGAAGUUGUAAGGAUUCAGACUGUUUUAGUCUCUAACGAGCCAAUAAAGGGAAUGAGCCAGGCUAGCAGGCAGUCCUAAAGCAACACAGCCACCAGCUCAGGGCGGGAGCAAAAGGAUGGCGAAGGGGACCCAUCCUCAGAGACUCACACCUGUGUUCAGCAGUGACCCCCCCGCAAAGGGAGGGCCUGUCCCGGAAGACAUAUUCAAAGUUACCAUUAAUUUUGUUUUCCGCCAUGAAAAACAGAAGAAUAAAAUUUUGUUUUCAAAAAGAAAACACAAAGGUGCUAAAUAAUGCUCUGAAAGCAACGCUGCUGACCCUUAUCCUAAAGAACAGCCAGUCACCUCUGAGGGAGAAGCUCUGUUCCAAGCGUUUGGCCCUGGCUUGCGUAACAACUUUCCAGAGCUCUGGAGACAGCCGCCCGGAACUGCUCACACCACACACAGGGACCCCGCACAACUGACUCAAGUUUGGUUCCUGGAGUCCCUCACGGGAACACUGGGCGCUCAAAUGACACAAUACACGUGAAAGUGCUGAGAAAAUUGUCAACUCUAUAUAAAUAUAAGAUAUUAUUAUAAGCAAAGAGCUCUAAUCUUAUCUGUUUAGAGAAGAAUGUUAACCCUUCUACAUCUUAAAACUAAUAAAAGGAUUAGCAUAUAUUGGCCACCUAAUCCACACCCAUCUGGGCACAAGCUGGGAGGAAAGGUAUGUGGUGUCGAUAAGUCUUUUCUGGGCAUGAAAUUCACUUCGGGCAGGAGGUCAGAGUGGAACAGAGGCUGACACUUAUCACUUGUGAGCUCGUAUGUAUCUUUGGAUUUAGAAAUUGAAAACCAUGCAAAAUGAAUGAGCUUAAAGCUAGUACACUCUAGCCCUCACCAAUAUUCUCUUCACAAAAACUGCCCCAACUUCAUUUUCUAACAGAAGUUCCCUGACUCAUUUCAUUUUACUGCAGCUUUAAAGUUUCUAAGAUUCUCCAUCCACUUCCUCCCCCUCUUUUCCUGCUGCUGUUCAUCCAUUUUGAGGAGGAGAGAACUUAGCCAUCUGCUCCCGCAUUCUGACAAAAGUUAUUUUGGCACAUUUAGUUUCCACUGACUUUCUAUCCACACGAUGAACUAGCAGCAACAUGGCACCAAUCAAGAGUCUCCCAGUUACUGGGAGAAACUGUGACCAGCACAGAAGGUAUGGUGAACCAAAGACGGACCAUACUGUAUUCCUGUGCAGCAAACAUUCGAGCUGUAUUACAACUAAUUAUUGUGGCUUUCCAUGACUACAUGGCCACCCCCAAAUCCACCCAACUACGUUCUGUAAUUCAUUUCAUCUGGAAACAUGUCAAAUGGAAAACUUCCUUCCGUUUAAAAUACGAACACAAUGUACCAAACAAGCAUCAAGACCGGAAGUGUGUUUUCAACUGGUUCAGCCAAAAGUUUCAUGCCAACAAGUGACUUGGCAAAGCAGAGGUGCGGACAAGUGCCUAGUAAUAAAAUGCUGAUUUAAAAAACCAUGAAUCUGGAAACAUCUCUAGUCCUGGCUGCACGCGCAGCAGCAACCCAGGAGGAGGCAAACAAGCAGCCGUUGUAAUGGUUCAGUCAUGAGCCAACAUGACAGGAGCCGAGGGAAGACG